UGGGGAAUCUUAGACAAUGGGGGCAACCCUGGUCUAGCCAUGCCGCGUGAGUGAUGAAGGCCUUAGGGUUGUAAAGAUCUUUCAGCUGGGAAGAUAAUGACGGUACCAGCAGAAGAAGCCCCGGCUAACUCCGUGCCAGCAGCCGCGGUAAUACGGAGGGGGCUAGCGUUGUUCGGAAUUACUGGGCGUAAAGCGCACGUAGGCGGACCAGAAAGUUGGGGGUGAAAUCCCGGGGCUCAACCCCGGAACUGCCUUCAAAACUAUUGGUCUGGAGUUCGAGAGAGGUGAGUGGAAUUCCGAGUGUAGAGGUGAAAUUCGUAGAUAUUCGGAGGAACACCAGUGGCGAAGGCGGCUCACUGGCUCGAUACUGACGCUGAGGUGCGAAAGCGUGGGGAGCAAACAGG
rnacentral:rRNA from 1 species